CCUCAAAGCACUGAAAGUAGUUCAGGACAGCUUCACAGUUCUGAUCAUUAAACUUUGGUACAUUAAACAGGCAAAGGGAAAAGAUAGGAUAAAAGGAGAUAUUACACUAUCCAUUACCCUCCUAACUUACAAAA